AACAAGGUGGGAGAAGAACAGGGGGCAAUGAUGGAGACCAGAACAGUUCUCUCACGUGGAAAAUCUGAAUUAAUGGAGGGAGCAUGAAGUGCCCGAAUGCCUUUCCAGAGACAUCAGUUCAGAUGUGUUAAUUGUUCGCCUAUCCUUGUCCUGAGAAUUGAUUGUUGCAUCCCAGGGAGAUUGCUGGCAUGAAGAAAACACUUACAGUAAUUAAAGUGAGGAAAGCUGAUGUCAGGCUUGCUUGUCCCUUUCAAAGGAACUAAGAACUUCACCAGAAAACAGUUUUAUUUCAAAGCAAACUUCAUUCCAGUGGAUGCAGUAUCCAUAUUGAACCAAUUGAAAUACAGCUUACUGUAGCUCUGUAGCAAUGGAGCACAACUGUGGAGCUCUGCGGUGCAGAUCACCCUUAAGAUGGCAGGACACAUACUCCUAGUUUUGCCAGGUAUUGUUAAAACGCAGAAUAUCAUGGACUCUUUUCCUGGAUCCACACACAGAUGUGCUCCUGAAAGCAGUAUUUGACAGAUGGUACCGGGUAUUUUCUACUAAACCAGGCCACCUUUAUGCAGAACAGCUACCACAUACGUCUUCCUUCACUGUCCAAGACCCACAGCUGCACCAGGUGGUCACCAGUCCUCUCCCAGAAAAGCUUCGCUAUAUUUUACAGUCCAUGGCACCUCAGAUUACUUCUUCAUGUAAAAGUUCAGUGUUGCGGUCCAGCCCCUGGGAAUUACAGUGUCUGAGCUGGCUCUGCAGUACUGGCGUGAUGUGGUUAUUAAUCCUUCUGAUAGGGCUGGAGCAGUCACUGUCUGGUGCAAGGGCUUGUGCAUUACUACAUAAUACAUCAAACCUCUGGUGCGGCAGCUUCUUCCGAAGAGCAGAUAAAUUUUCCGCUACCCUGUGUGCCUCUGUGCAGGGCUCUGCCAUCCUGCAGACUGGGGAUCUGCUUACCAGCAUCAAGGGACUCAACCAAGAAAGGGGCAGGUUAGGUCCAAUUAUGCUGAAAAAUGUGACCUGCUUAAGAUGCCACUUAACACGACUGUGGGGUUUUGUACAGUUCUUGAAGAAAAGUAAAAGGGGCUUAA